CUGAAGAAUAACUUAUAUUGCACAGUAAAGUACUUAUAUUGCACAACGCGGUUCGAGUUUCACAGUGGUGUGAUACUUGUUGCAGUCUAUUUCACAUGUGUGUGAUGAUUCGUCUUGUUGGGUUUGUUCUCCUUAUUGUUUGGUUUGUUCAUGGGAGUUCAGGGCACUGAUGGCUCUGGGGAAAAAGCUGUCCCUGAGUCUGUUUGUACGGGCUUUGUGAGCUCU